UACAAAGCGAUGGAUCAACUAUUACAGAAAAGGUAAGAGCUUUGGCUGCAAAACCCAACAGAUACGGGGUGCGCUACAGUGGCUAUGUCAUCAACGGCUUCAGGUUCCACACGAUGAGUCAUGAGUCAGGGCAUGUCACACAAAAUAGUGGUGUAGUGAACAUUGCAGAAAAUGGUGUUAGAUAUUAUGGCAGAUUAAGUGACAUCUUUGAAUUGUCAUACAAUGAUUACAAGGUGGUGUUCUUUAAUUGUGAUUGGUACGAUGUCUACCACAAAGUUGGCAUUCAAACGGAUGAGUUUGGGUUCACUCUUGUGAACAAAUCUCGGAAAAUACACACAGGAGAUGAGCUAGAUGAUGAUCCUUUUGUAUUUUCCUCCCAAGUGCAGCAGGUUUUCUACGUUCAAGACCCAAAAGCUGAACUAUGAAAUGUAGUAGUGGAAGUCAGGCCUCGUGAUCUUUUUGACAUGGUUGUUGAGGAAUCAUCGGAUGAAACAUAUUAGAGCAUUGUGCUUUUGGUUCAGGCUGAAGUAUGGUGGAAGCUCUUUGCUGGUGUGGUUCUUUGCAUGCAACUACAAUUUUAGUUAUGGUUUUGGUAGCGGUUUACAAGCACAAAGUCAGAAUGCUUUAUUAUAGUUUGUGGUUGUAUUUUUUUCGUACUAAUUCAGGGCACAGCCCAAGUGUACUUGGUUGUGAAUUGCAAGUUGAUUCUGUAGAAUUUCUGUUCUGGAAAUUAAGUAUCACAUUUGGUUUAUUGAUUAUUCCCACAUGUUGCAGUUAUCUCGUAUUGUUAUAUCACAUGGCUGAGAAAUGUUGAAUAUACAAUUGUGAAUUCUUCUUUUUAAGAUCAUG
rnacentral:lncRNA from 1 species